AAAGUACAUUUUUAAUAGUGCACUUAAAGCUAGACUACCUAAACUUUCCCCCAGUGUUAAUCUGACUGCAUGUUAACAUUGUAUCUGCUUCAUUUUACUGAUUUGUUCCAGAACAGCAUUUCAUAUUCUAUAUAAAGUAUUAAUCUACAGGAUCAAAAAAAUUACUUUGGAAAGGUACUCUAAGAAGACUGGAUAAUAUUGACAGGCAGUUUAAAAUCCAGUAAUUAUGUGCUUCAGAGUAACUUCUCUAGUAAUUUACAGAAUUUGUAACUUCUAGCUUUUGCAAAAUUAUGCCAACUAUAAAAAUCUAUCCUGAGUUCUGAUUUUAAUACUUUCAAAGUCUAAAGCCGUUAUCCAUGCGUUGCUUUAUGUCCAGAGUGCCAUGAGCUAAGUUCAGGAAGAUCUUGUCUUGAAAUUUGAGUUAAUUUUGUGCUUUUGUGCCAUCUUUCAUUCUAGUUGCAUGUUUUGUGCCAUUUUUCAUUCUAGUUGACAGUGCGACUUACUGUAGCUGCUGAUGCUAGGAAUUGAUUUUUUAGGUGAAGAUUAGCACAGUUUUGGACAUCUUAAUUUCUCAGAAAUUAAUUUAUGCAAACAAAGGGCCUCUUGAGAGUUUAUUUAAUCCUUUUUUUUCCUGUCCACAUGUGAACCACCAGCUUUGGCAGUGAAGGGUUGCUUGCUUGUUUUUACAUACAACAGCAAUGUAAUAUGUGCUCUCUGUGUGCAUGUUUAAAUAAAACCUUUUCAAAAAGUGGAAAAAAUAGCCCUGUGGGCUAUCAAUGGAAAGAUAAUUUACUUUGCAAUUCAUUCUUGACAAAUAGUUUUCUAUCUGAUCUUCAGAUUAUUUAUUCUGUUUAAAAUAGUAACUUAAAACAGAAGACCGUGUUAAAAACCAAAACCUGCUAGAACUAUAUACUAAAAAUGUAAAAAAAAAAUUGAAAAUGCUAAGUGAGAAUGUAUUUUGUUACACAAAGAAAAUCUUGGCUACGAAUGACUGGCUCAACACAUUGGGGGUUUUUUAACAGUCUAGAAAAAUGUUUAUUUUCCAUUAUAUUGACAGACAGCUGCAUAGAAAUGCUCUGGUUUUAUAGUGAUGCUAUGUAAAUCUAUAUGAUACUGGAUGCUUGAUGGUGAAUACUACUGUAUUGCUAUUGUUGCUGAUACUAAUGAAUUUUUAUAAAAUAAGUUACUUUGUACAUAAUCAUAUUGGCCUUAGGACUUUUAACUUGAGGGCCUUGGGUGGACAAAGAUCACACAUGCCUGCACUGAAUAUAAAUAUAAAAAUAAAGAUCAAAUCCCAUAGGAAGUCAAACAAAAACAGUACUGUUUUUAAAGAAAGGGGUAAAGACAAGACAGUGUGAUCAUAAACCUUUCUAUUAGAUUUGUUGGGUGUUUAUUUAACCUACUGAUCCAAAUUCAGCUAAAUGUAACAGAAGAAAAGGCUUAAGUAUAAGCAGAGCAUCUAACUGUGCUUUUGUAGUGCAUUCAGCAUUACUGUGGCUUGAAAUCAGACCUAGAAAGCUGAUGUGUGAGGUGAUAGAAGUUGUCUGAGUGCUGGGGCUGGGGGAAGCCUGAGUUUGUGGUCAAUUCUGGUAGUGAGAGGGAUGAAGGGGGAUGUGGAACAUCCCUAGUAAACAGGCAGCAGCUGCGUUGUGGGGCAGGUGUGCUCCAUGGCUAUGCAUUCAUUACCUGUAAAUAAUGUGGAAUGAAGCAAAUUCCCAUUAAUUUUGCUUAGUCUGCUAUCAAUUCUCUGAUAGAUUAUUUGUUUUUUUGGGGUUUGUUGGAGAGGGGCAGGGGUGGUUGGGUUUUUUGUUCUUAGCUGUGGUUAGCUUUAAACAAUAAUUGAACUUCUCUGUAAUUUUCAGCGUUACUAAUCUGGCUCUCGUUUGUAUCUGAAAUGAAAGAUUCAUUUCCCCUUACAUCCACAAAAUGUCAGUGCUGCCAUGGACUGUAAACUGUAUUUUCUGACUUUGCAUUUUCUCCAUUAGCAGUACAAAUUUGAUAAGGAGUACCAUUUCUUACUCUUUGCUCUAUUGCUCUUGAGGGCAAGAACAUUAACUUCAAGUCAAACCUAGUUGCUGACCAUCUAAAAACAUUUCCUUCUACGGGUCUUGGAUAAUUCAGAUUCCUCAACUAAGAAGAGCUAAGGGGGUGUAGACACAGGAAAGUCAGAAACUUGCCUUCUCCAUCCCCAAAGUAUUUGUGGGUAAACCCUAGCUUUUGUAUUCUCUACUUUCUGUGCCUGUGUAGUAGACUAUGAAGACAUAUUUCAAAAGAUUAAGGGAAUGUAGAACAACUCUUUACUUAAAUUUAAAAAAAAAAAAAUAAUUCUAGAAUUAAGCUGGUCCCAUUGUCUAAACAUGGCUUCACCAUGAAGUUAAAUAACUUUAUGUGGGUAACAGUCUCAUUUUUAGUCAUUUAUCUUUGACAGUAUGUACUGGAGGUGAGGUGAAGCUGGAAAUCUUUCCUCUUCUUCCCUGAACAAUAUUUAGACUUAACCAGAUCCACUUCUCGAAAUAACACUGUUAAUGGAAAGGUAGUAUGCCGUGUGUUCAGUCAGAGUAACAGUCUCCUGAGAGCAUUUGAGGCCUCUUUGCUGGUAAAAUACUUUCUUGGAAAGGUAGGAAUUCUGUGUCUGUACUAGCUUUUAAUUGCAGUUAAACACCAUUCAUUUGGAAUAAACAAGCAAAGAGACACCCUACCAUCCCUGAACUAAAUAAUUGUUAUAGAUUUUUGUACUCCAAAUCAUUUACAUGGUGGUAAAUCAAGAUUUCUUCAAUAAAGCAUGACAUGUAUUAAUACAUUUCAGUUGGGAAAGAGAAUGUACUGUCUGGAGAAAACACAUACACCACUAAAAUUUUUGGACACUUUAGGUAAAGAAAUCUUUACUGUAAGGAUCUCAGUGUUCCAUAAUAUUCUGUUUUAUGGCUUUUACAGAUGUUUUCAUAGUUUUAAAAAUGUGGUGCUGGGGAAGAUGACCUCGCAGUCAAAUAUCUUAAAGAAAUGUAGCCUGUAAACAGAAUUUUAGAUCUUCGUCUGAAAACUGUGAGGAACCAAUGGUAGUUCAAAACGGGAUCAUGAAACUAGAUUAAAAGAAUCUUUAAAAUUGCCUGUGGAAAUUUAAUUUUAAAAAUACUUUAAACAGUCGUCUUAUCUUCUCUGAGACACUUUCUGAUUGGAAAAGUGAUAUGAAACAGAUCAAAGUUUGCAUCCCUAGGUUUUAUUUUGUAAAUGGGACUCUGUUAUGUGGCUUGUUUCCUGCAAGUACAGAACUGGGUAGUUAGCCAAAGUUGAUGAGAGUGGAAUUUAUCUUACAAAAAAGAGUACUUUUAUUCCUUCUAGUGAAGUUGAAAGCUUCCAUUAUAAUAACACAAGCAUUUGUAGAAAAUAAUCUAAAAAGUUUGCCAGCAGGGAAAACAUUUAAUGUUUUGGAUGGUCUAAAAUGAUGUCUCCCCUGCAUGAUAAGCAGUACAUGCUGUGAACUGUUAGUGUACAUCACACUGCUUGACCAGUACUAACCAAGGGAUGAAAGAGUGUAUUGUUUUGGAUCAACCUAAAUUACUUUAGCUACGUUAGUAAAUUUCUUAAUUCCUUGUCCUAAAAGGUGUCUUAGUGUUUCUGGCAAAGAAGUUCUGAAGAGUGGUUGCAGUUCAGUGGUAAGUGAACCGAUAACUCCUUUCAGCUCAGUAAUGCUUGCUUACAGUGGUAGAAGAGAAAUAUAGUAGUAGUAUUUAAAAUACCUGUUAAUUGACAGUUGUGUUUUCUUAUGCGUAGUGAGAGCGUUAAAGUUUGAUAAAUAUGGAAGAUAAAAAGAUGUGGAAGAGCUAGAUUGUUUCAUGCAGUGCACUUUGAAUUUUAGUCAUAUUGAUAGAUUAUAGAUUAUAUAUUAUAUAUUCCCACUGUGAUAGGAAGUAAAAACAAAAAAGGAAAAAACUGUAUUUUUGUGUAAAACUUCUAAUAGGGCCUGUAGCUGUCUCCCUGCAAAACGAUACAUAGAAACUCCAAGCACUAUGAAGAAGCAACUCUAUGAGCGCAGUAAUAACCUGCCUGUUGUUGCAUAAUCCUCUUCAGUGAUGCAAGCUGGAUCUUUGGUUCCAACAGCUGAAUGAUAAUGAGCUAAGCAUCUGCCAAAAAGUAUAGUUUGUUACUGCACUCUGGUAUUCACGAAUUUUGAUAACAAGCGAAUUCUUUCAAUUGUGUAGACUUUUAUUAAAUAUUUCUCAUUUUCAGUGCAGUUUUUCUGAAGUGCUUAAAAAUUCCCUAGAAGGUACUUAGGACAAAAAGUUCUAAAGAAAUUUGCAGUGAUGGUAAUUUUGGUUAAAAAAGAAAAAACCAAAACCACAAACCUUCUGUCCAACUCAGCCCAAGGUUAAUACCAGUUCUUGUAAAAUUACAUGGGGAAAUCAGUGGAAAGAGUUUAUCAUGUGAUAGUGGCUAUGGUGCCCUUGCUGGUAUUUAAGAAUGUGGAAAAUAUGUAGAAAACAUAAUAUUUAUGUCAAGUAACAAUGUCAGAACUUUUGCAGCUAAGUAACUGUUCCAUCUCCAAUGUAUUAAAGAAUUUUUUUAGGUACAACCAAAAUUGUUUUUUCCUUUGUGGCUAGUCAGUUUAUAGGCGUAUUUAGGUGUCAGUGAGGAAGAAUGAACUCUUGGCAGCACAAUUAUUAAGCAACAACACUUGGAGUGAUUAGUUUCUCAAGCUGAUGGUUUCACUGAUACCUUCGUAGAGUUGUUGCUUAAUUCAGUUGCCUUGUCUGCAAGGAGUCUGGUUUAGCUGUCUAACCAGUUCUAAACCAUAAUGUGACGCAGAGCACAGUUAUUUUCUAGACUGCUUUACAGCUGUGUAAAUCAGAACAAGAACUCCAAUCUAGAGCAGGCCAGCUUAGAUCACUGAGAAUGAGUUCAUGUGAAGAAAAAAUGUUAAAUAGCUUAGAAGUUGAAAGCUAGCCUUUUAUUGUUCGGGGUUUUUUAGAAGCGGUAGUUCUAUGUAAAACCAUUGCAGUUGAUCUAAUGUGGAGAAACUCCUGCUUCCUCUCCAGGUUUUAGAAGAGUUGGCUUCAGAAGUGUCUGACCAGGUAUCAGUGAUAAUACUUGCCUUAAGGUACAAUUUACAGUAAUUUCUUUGAAGUUAGUAUUUUUCUUUUUUGUUGUUGUUUUUUUCUUUUCCCUCUUUUAAAUCCAUCUGGGUAAGUUUUAUAGUAUGCUUAUCUCAGCUGUUACUAUCAGUGUUUCUCAGGAAUAAUUCUGAAGGGGGUAGGUAGUAUGACUUUUCAGUAGUAACACUCAAUUUUACAGAAAAAUUGUAUAAGAGGAUUUUGGAAGAUCCUUAAAAGAAAGGAAUGUGGAUAGAACUUAAUCAUCACUAAAAUUCAGUAGUACUAAUGGUCAGCUGUUUAAUUUCUGUACCUGCUAGUACACAGUGAUAGAAACAGGCAUUUAAGGAAUACUUUUUGAUGACAUUGUGCAAGAAAA